UACGUAGGUCCCGAGCGUUGUCCGGAUUUAUUGGGCGUAAAGCGAGCGCAGGUGGUUUAUUAAGUCUGGUGUAAAAAUUCGGGGCUCAACCCCGUCCGGCCGUUGAAACUGGGGGUCUUGAGUGGGCGAGAAGAAGGCGGAAUGCGUGGUGUAGCGGUGAAAUGCAUAGAUAUCACGCAGAACCCCGAUUGCGAAGGCAGCCUUCCGGCGCCCUACUGACGCUGAGGCACGAAAGUGCGGGGAUCGAACAGG
rnacentral:rRNA from 1 species